GUUAGGAUAAGCUAUGGAAGCAGAGCACCAGGUCUUGGUGGCUUGAAACAACCACCAUUUAUUUCUGGCUCACACUGUGUGCCCAACCAGAAGGAGGAGGGCUCUGGUUGGUCCAGUUAAGGACUGGGAUCCCGGAUAACACAGACAUCAGCAUUUUAUGAUCAUCAACAGGGCUCUGGGGUUUGCUGUGACAGAGAGAAGAUAGAGAGGCAUGGGGCAGCAAUUAAAUGGCUCUGCUUGGCAGUGACAGACUUCUCACAUUUCAAGAAAAUCACUGAACUAAUUCAAUUUCAAGAAGGGGAUGGACAAGGAAUCUUCCAUAAUCCUGGAGAAACAAACCCUUGAAAUAUUGAAAAAUGCUAGAACAUUCACCUACCAUAGCCAACAUAGUACAGGGGCAGGACAGCCAUUUCAGAUGUUAGAGGGAGCUUCAGAUUGUGGUGAAAAGGAAAACCAGAUUGCCUCUGAUGUCCAAUGAGAGGGAAUUUCAGACCUUCAGAAUGAUGGUGUAAGGAGCCUAGAAGACCAUCUUGCCAUUCAAGCAGCCAUUUAACUGGUGAAAAUUAUAGACAAACAACUAUUUAAAGUCUCUGAAAAUUGUCCUAAGAGCAGAUAGCAAGUGGAGAAACUUUUAUUCAAUAAUAUCUCAGUAGGAGCAUCAAGAGGUGAAAGUUUUUGAGCCAUAAAUUGUUCUCAUGUCCUCCCCAUAGUUGCACUUGUCCAUCCAGAAGGACAUGACCCAGAAGAGAGGGGCUUCUCCCCCUGACCUCCCACCAGCUCCUGCUCUAGGACUGUGGUUUCACUCUGAGAGGGGAAGCCUGCCAAUGUGUCUCGACAGCACUAGCUCCAGGUAUAGAAGUGCAGGUUCAGAUAAGCAUGUCUGAGAAGACUGGGUUCCUCUUCUUCUCUCAGUUCUUGCUUGUGGGUCAAGGGCUCUGCCCCAGGCAUGACAGGUUGAAAAUAGUGGAGCCCCAAUUUCCC
rnacentral:lncRNA from 1 species